AUGAACGCUGGCGGCGUGCCUAAUACAUGCAAGUCGAGCGAACAGACGAGGAGCUUGCUCCUCUGACGUUAGCGGCGGACGGGUGAGUAACACGUGGAUAACCUACCUAUAAGGCUGGGAUAACUUCGGGAAACCGGAGCUAAUACCGGAUAAUAUAUUGAACCGCAUGGUUCAAUAGUGAAAGACGGUUUUGCUGUCACUUAUAGAUGGAUCCGCGCCGCAUUAGCUAGUUGGUAAGGUAACGGCUUACCAAGGCGACGAUGCGUAGCCGACCUGAGAGGGUGAUCGGCCACACUGGAACUGAGACACGGUCCAGACUCCUACGGGAGGCAGCAGUAGGGAAUCUUCCGCAAAGGGCGAAAGCCUGACGGAGCAACGCCGCGUGAGUGAUGAAGGUCUUCGGAUCGUAAAACUCUGUUAUUAGGGAAGAACAAAUGUGUAAGUAACUAUGCACGUCUUGACGGUACCUAAUCAGAAAGCCACGGCUAACUACGUG
rnacentral:rRNA from 1 species